AAAAAAAAUGAGUAUCAAUCCCUUUAGUUCAAUUCCCCUCUGAAUUGCUGUGCAACUCUUUGAAAACAAAUUCCUUCAUCUUGCCCUACUCCAAUGAGGCUCUAACCUCAUUAUCAUGCUUUGUAGGCGUGGCCCCCUGAUGCUAAAGGUCUCAUGGAAGAGAUUGCAACCUCUGUGACUAAAGUUAGGAAUGUUAUGUAAUGCAUUAAAAAUGAAAACCUUUUCCCGACAGGGAUCAAUAUUUUAUAUAAACAUUAAAAUAGGUGUGGUUUUACUGCUUUCCACUGCUUUAGUAGUACAAUAGAUCCACAAGCAUCACAGAGAAAGAAUCAUAGAAUCACAGAAUCAUGGAAUCAUAGAAUCAUAGAAUGGCCUGGGUUGAAAAGGACCACAAUGAUCAUCGAGUUUCAACUCCCCUGCUAUGUGCAGGGUCGCCAACCACCAGACCAGGUUGCCCAGAGCCACAUCCAGCCUGGCCUGGAAUGCCUCCAGGGAUGGGGCAUGCCUCCUGGGACAACCUGUUCCAGUUCAUCACCAUCCUUUGUGUGAGUUCAGAACCAGUGGAGAUGACAAUGUGCAAUAAGUCAUCUUGUAGAAGUCGUAUCAGAUCCUGGUGAUCUUUGGUUCCUCAACUCGGAAGACUGUCAGGCCCUGUGAGCAAGGCCAGGAUGAAGAAGGGAGUUGAAGGAAGAAGACACAAGUGGAGGGGAAGAAUCACUGGAUGAUUAAGGUUGGAGGGGACCUUUGGAGCUCAUGAGGUCCUACCGCUGCUCAAGUAGAGACACCUACAACCACCUGUCCAGGACAAUGUCCAGACAGCUACUGAAGAUCUCUAAGAAGGGAGAAUCCACAUCUCUCUGGACAGCCUAUGCAAA
ensembl:lncRNA